rnacentral:misc_RNA from 1 species
AAGUCGUAACAAGGUUUCCGUAGGUGAACCUGCGGAAGGAUCAUUAUCAUGCGCACUAUGCGCGCUGGCAGGCUGGUUUGGCGGAGAUGGAGAACUCCCUCACAGGAUGAGCUCUCUCCUCGACCAGCCCUGACCGAUAUACCCAUGAUUUUUGCGCACCUAUUGUUUCCUCGGCAGGCUUGCCUGCCAGUAGGACCCUUUUCAAAACCCAUUGCAGUUGCAGUCAGCGUCAGAUAAACUUCAAUAGUUACAACUUUCAACAACGGAUCUCUUGGUUCUG